rnacentral:rRNA from 1 species
CAGGACUUGACAUCCCUCGCAUAGCCUAGAGAUAGGUGAAGCCCUUCGGGGCGAGGAGACAGGUGGUGCAUGGUUGUCGUCAGCUCGUGUCGUGAGAUGUUGGGUUAAGUCCCGCAACGAGCGCAACCCCUGUUGCUAGUUGCUACCAGUAAGAUGAGCACUCUAGCGAGACUGCCGGAGACAAUUCGGAGGAAGGUGGGGAUGACGUCAAAUCAUCAUGCCCUUUAUGUCCUGGGCUACACACGUGCUACAAUGGCCGUAACAGAGGGCAGCGACUUGGUGACAGGAAGCUAAUCCCUAAAAAGCGGUCUUAGUUCGGAUUGCAGGCUGCAACUCGCCUGCAUGAAGUCGGAGUUGCUAGUAAUCGCAGGUCAGCAUACUGCGGUGAAUACGUUCCC